rnacentral:tRNA from 1 species
GUCAGGACGGCCGAGUGGUAAAAGGUUCCAGACUCCAGCCCUGCUUCCCUGCGUGAGGGGUUCUGGAGUACAGAUGCAGCCAGCGGUGGGUGGGUUCGAAUCCCACUUCUGAUG